CCAAAAACAAAUAACUUUAGGAGUUAUAUUGUGCCUUUGAUUAACUGUGCAGUUUCUAGUACAAAAAAUUGGGAGGGGCUCAGCUGUCUGUAUCACUCAUUUACACUGAGUCCUAGAAAAAGGAGAAGGGGGACGAGGGGUGUCAAAUCUGCACUUCUUUCUCUGCCUAAUUCCACAAGUCAUUUUAACCCCUUCAUUAUUGGUUUCAUUUCUGAUUUCUCUCCUUAAGUUAUC